CAGCAGCCACGGUAAUACGUAGGUGGCAAGCGUUGUCCGGAAUUAUUGGGCGUAAAGGGCUCGCAGGCGGUUUCUUAAGUCUGAUGUGAAAGCCCCCGGCUCAACCGGGGGGGGUCAUUGGAAACUGGGAAACUUGAGUGCAGAAGAGGAGAGUGGAAUUCCACGUGUAGCGGUGAAAUGCGUAGAGAUGUGGAGGAACACCAGUGGCGAAGGCGACUCUCUGGUCUGUAACUGACGCUGAGGAGCGAAAGCGUGGGGAGCGAACAGGAUUAGAUACCCCCGUAGUCCCUGUCUCUUAUAA
rnacentral:rRNA from 1 species